AUGGGCCCGUGGAUGCGGCAGAUGGACCUCGGGUCACUUUCUCGCUCCUUCCCGGCAUGUGUCCCACGAGGGAGGGAUAGGCCAAGGCCAGGGCCAGCGUCCCAGGAGGCGGGGCUGGAGCGCCUAGCCUGCCUUCCUCCCCGCUGCCCUCCAGGUUCUGCGCCCCCGGGCUUGGCGCUGGCGGACACCUCCCAGGGGGCGUGGAGCCAAGACACCUGGGGCACGCGGCCAAGAGCUGCCGCCGCCCGCCCCUCCCCCAACCCCUGCUGGGGGUGUUUAUCUUCGCCGUUCCUCCUCGCUCUUUUCCCUUUCACUUUUCUUUUCGUUGGGGGUUGGGACUCCGUGGGUUCCAGGCGCCCAGGGAAACCCCAGCCUAUUUGUUUGUGGCCGCAGAGGCCCGACGCCCGGGAGCCGGGUGACCGCGCCCGCCCCGCUGCACUGCCUGCCGCCCCUGACCCUGCAGCCCGGAGUCGAUGGAGCCGAGCACAGACUGCUAGUCCACUUGUGGGUGCCGCGCGGAGCCCCCGCGGCCCCACGGUGCGCUCCGCUCUUUCCGCGUCGCCGGGUGCCGUGCGCUCCACCUACUCCGCGCUGGGAGGCGGAGAGCAAGGGAAGCGCGCCCGGCUGCCCGCGCCGAGCUGCGGGGUUCCGAGAAAGGGAAGUCACGCCGCACUGAGCGCUGAGUUCUGCACCUCAUCCAGCUCGGAAAGUUCAAGUAAGAUGGAGAGCAUAAGUAGAAUACAAUAA
rnacentral:lncRNA from 1 species